GACAUAGGGGGCAAGCGUUGCUCGGAAUCACUGGGCGUAAAGGGCGCGUAGGCGGGAUGGCAAGUCGGUCGUGAAAUCCUCGGGCUCAACUCGAGGGGGUCGGCCGAUACUGCCGUUCUUGAGGGAUGCAGAGGAGACUGGAAUUCCCGGUGUAGCGGUGAAAUGUGUAGAGAUCGGGAGGAACACCGGUGGCGAAGGCGGGUCUCUGGGCAUUCCCUGACGCUGAGGCGCGAAAGCGUGGGGAGCAAACGGGAUUAGAAACCCUCGUAGUCC
rnacentral:rRNA from 1 species